CCCUUUACAGAAAAAAACUUACCAAUCCUUAUGAGACCAGACUUGCAAAAAUUACAGUAACAGAGUGAAAAACCUUCUUGAAGUGUUAGGAGGAACUUGAGUCAUAAUUUGAUGUUGAAUCAGAGAGAACAACUGUUUGGGCUUAUUUGCCUCAGAGUAUUUGCCCAGCCUCUGGUAACUAUCAUUCUAUUCUCUACCUCCAUGAGAGCAAAUUUCUUAGCUCCCACAUGUGAAUGAGAACAUGCAAUAUUUGUCUUUCUGUGCCUGGCUUAUUUCAGUUAACAUCGUGACCUCCAGUUCCAUCCAUGUUGCUGCAAAUGGUUUUCCACUGAUGUCUGUCCCAAGGUCUGAUUGAGGAUCCCACAGUGCAUGUAUUUCAACAGGCUUUUAGUAAAUAUUGGGAUUCCAGGCUUUGUCUCUG